UACGUAGGGUGCAAGCGUUAAUCGGAAUUACUGGGCGUAAAGCGUGCGCAGGCGGUUUUGUAAGUCUGUCGUGAAAUCCCCGGGCUCAACCUGGGAAUUGCGAUGGAGACUGCAAGGCUAGAAUCUGGCAGAGGGGGGGUAGAAUUCCACGUGUAGCAGUGAAAUGCGUAGAGAUGUGGAGGAACACCGAUGGCGAAGGCAGCCCCCUGGGUCCAAGAUUGACGCUCAUGCACGAAAGGCGUGGG
rnacentral:rRNA from 1 species